UACGUAGGGGCCUAGCGUUGUCCGGAUUUAUUGGGCGUAAAGCGCGCGCAGGCGGUCCUUUAAGUCUGAUGUGAAAGCCCACGGCUCAACCGUGGAGGGUCAUUGGAAACUGGGGGACUUGAGUACAGAAGAGGAAAGCGGAAUUCCACGUGUAGCGGUGAAAUGCGUAGAGAUGUGGAGGAACACCAGUGGCGAAGGCGGCUUUCUGGUCUGUAACUGACGCUGAGGCGCGAAAGCGUGGGGAGCAAACAGG
rnacentral:rRNA from 1 species